rfam:Trichobilharzia regenti genome assembly, scaffold: TRE_scaffold0041391
AUCCAGCUGACGAGUCCCGAACAGGACGAAAUGCGCAUCCUGGAU